rnacentral:rRNA from 1 species
GUGGGGAAUUUUGGACAAUGGGCGCAAGCCUGAUCCAGCCAUGCCGCGUGCAGGAUGAAGGCCUUCGGGUUGUAAACUGCUUUUGUACGGAACGAAAAGACUCUGGUUAAUACCUGGGGUCCAUGACGGUACCGUAAGAAUAAGCACCGGCUAACUACGUGCCAGCAGCCGCGGUAAUACGUAGGGUGCGAGCGUUAAUCGGAAUUACUGGGCGUAAAGCGUGCGCAGGCGGUUAUGUAAGACAGAUGUGAAAUCCCCGGGCUAAACCUGGGAACUGCAUUUGUGACUGCAGAGCUAGAGUACGGCAGAGGGGGAUGGAAUUCCGCGUGUAGCAGUGAAAUGCGUAGAUAUGCGGAGGAACACCGAUGGCGAAGGCAAUCCCCUGGGCCUGUACUGACGCUCAUGCACGAAAGCGUGGGGAGCAAACAGGAUUAGAAACCCCGGUAGUCC